UAUUUUUUGUGUCGCAGAACAAUGCUGUAGAUUCCGUGACUAGUUUGAGGGCGCAACUCCGGCCAUUUUAGAUUUCCACCCUUAUGAAGUGUAACUACGGAGUUCAAGAGACCGCUUUGUCUGUCUGUCUAUCUGUCUCUAUUUAUUUAUUUGUUUUGGGAAGCUGUCACGUAGUUCUGGCUAUUUUUAUUAGAAUUUUUUUUAAACUGUGGAAUAUUUUAUGUUUCCUGGAGAAAUGAGAACAAGUGAAUAUAUACAUACAGACUUCAUUAGUAAUAAUUGGUUUGGAUUAAAUGGUAACUACUCUUGGACACAACCAAAUAGCCACCUGUCUCAAACAAGUGAGACCAGAUUCUGCUCUAGCAGAAACCAGCUAGAGGAGCCUCAACAGGUAUGGCUUAAAAAGAGAGAGAGGGUUAUUUCCUUUGUUCCUUCCCAAGGGGAGUGGUUUCAAAAAGAAGGAGUUGGGUGACAGAGCCCAGGUCCUUUUCAUUACAAAUAGUUUGUGGAUAUUAUUUUACAUAAGAUUUCUGUUUUUCAGGAUUCUUUGAAAAAAUUUGGCAGCAGCAUAGCUAGGUAUUAUUUAUUUUUGCCUUCAGGAGCCUCAGAGCAGGGGGAAGAGAGGAGCAGCAGCUGUAGAUUCCGCCCCAUUGUCUGCAGCUGGGAUGGUUUUAUUGUCUGUUUCUUUCGGUGGGUGUGGGCAAGCUAUUCCAUAGAUUUCCCUGAGUUUUCUUUCCUCUUAUCUUCAUAUAGAAUGUUCUAUUUCUGCACCUAUAUUCUUUUAUUGCUUUGUACACAGGUCACCUUUGGCAUCCAUCACAUCGUGUUCCAGUUAUCUGUUUAUACAGAGAAGCCUAACUACUGCCUCCUGUACCAUGGAAGUUACAAAGGAGAGAAUUCUCCAUCCUUAAUUACGUUCCCCCAGUUCCUCUGCCUCCUGACCAACGCUGGUGCCUCCCCGUGUGGACCUCCGUGGCCCCCCCUUCUUGGGAACUAAGCAUUAAGAAAAGAGUGAUUUGGAGGAAACCAAACACUGCCCUACAGCUAUUGUCUGAGAAGUACUAAAAGGAGAAAGAGUAAAUGGUGACCGUGAGCAGCAUAGAAGAAAGGAAAACAAACUGGGGCUCUCCUGCCUCUUCCAGGAACCAAAAAGAGUGCAGAAGACUAAUCUGGGCUUGAAACCAUGUGGCCUUGGAAAUUAACAGUA